AUGCUUGUUUGCCACCAACGUAGUAUAUAAAAAACCAAAUACUAAAAAAAUUACGGAAUCACGUUGGGCGAGUCCGACUCGCCCUUGUCCGGUUUUUGUAUUUAUUCGUAAGCUUGCAUUAAUUGCCAUGGCACUUUAGGCUUAGCUUGUAAGUACAGUCGAGGAAAUUGAUUCUUUAGCAGUUAACGUGUCACGUUACAAUGGACAGCUCUUACCAUAAGUAUAUACAGCCAAAUUUACUUGAACCGCAAGUUGCUAAAGAAUCAAUUUCCGCGACCGUACUAAUAGGAUAUUCUUUGCUAAUAGGUCUAAUAAAUAAUAUGUUGCGGACUCUUUUCUUAAACCUUUUUACUUGUAUACUUUUUACGACAUUUGACGCUGUCAUGUUAUUCAAAUAGUAAAAUAAAUCUGACAAGAGAGAAAAUUGUGAUCUUAUUUACAGAAAGAUACUUAAUGUAUGAAAAAAUAAGCAAAAAUAAGAAUGAAUGUUUUACGACACAAAAAGCGACAUCUGGGAUGGCUCAAGAGUAACACUGGUGUGAGCGGCUCAGGGGUAUCGAGAGGCGUGCACCGCUUUCAACCCAGUGGCUGUAACAGCCACUGUGCCAACUCGCGUCUUGCACUUCCACCCUUGGAACUUAUAGCUCUAACGACUCCACCCUGGCCGGCCGGCCAAGGCAACCC